rnacentral:snRNA from 1 species
GGAUAUGAGAGCAAUCUGGCUGCGACAUCUGUCAACCCAUUGAUCGCCAUGGUUGAUUGAGCUGAUAUGGCUGGCUAGGUGGGUGUUCCCUUCCUCCCGCUCCAUGUGCGUCCCUCCCUCCCAAAGCUGCUAGCUUGGUUGAAGAGGACAGCCUUCCCUGAAUAGAGAUGGGUCUUCCUCAAGAGUAUAUGAGUAGCUGCACUCCCCUCCUAGAACCUCCAAACAAGCUCUCAAGAAGACAAACAACAACAACAACAACAACACACAUAUAUAUAGCAAAUGGUGGUGAUUUGU